UACGAAGGGGGCUAGCGUUGCUCGGAAUCACUGGGCGUAAAGCGCACGUAGGCGGCUUGUUAAGUCAGGGGUGAAAUCCUGGAGCUCAACUCCAGAACUGCCUUCGAUACUGGAGAGCUCGAGUCCGGGAGAGGUGAGUGGAACUGCGAGUGUAGAGGUGAAAUUCGUAGAUAUUCGCAAGAACACCAGUGGCGAAGGCGGCUCACUGGCCCGGUACUGACGCUGAGGUGCGAAAGCGUGGGGAGCAAACAGG
rnacentral:rRNA from 1 species